UGGGGAAUUUUGGACAAUGGGCGCAAGCCUGAUCCAGCAAUGCCGCGUGUGUGAAGAGGGCCUUCGGGUUGUAAAGCACUUUUGUCCGGAAAGAAAUCCGUCUGGCUAAUACCCGGACGGGAUGACGGUACCGGAAGAAUAAGCACCGGCUAACUACGUGCCAGCAGCCGCGGUAAUACGUAGGGUGCGAGCGUUAAUCGGAAUUACUGGGCGUAAAGCGUGCGCAGGCGGCUUUGUAAGACAGAUGUGAAAUCCCCGGGCUCAACCUGGGAACUGCAUUUGUGACUGCAAGGCUAGAGUGCGUCAGAGGGAGGUGGAAUUCCGCGUGUAGCAGUGAAAUGCGUAGAGAUGCGGAGGAACACCGAUGGCGAAGGCAGCCUCCUGGGAUGACACUGACGCUCAUGCACGAAAGCGUGGGGAGCAAACA
rnacentral:rRNA from 1 species